UUGGUUGAUCCUGCCAGUAGUGUAUGCUUCUCCUAAAGACUAAGCCAUGCAUGCCUAAGAAUAAGAGGAAGCAAUUCUCUCUGAAUCUGCGAACGGCUCCGCAAACCAGUUGUAAACUAUAGCAAGCAAGCCCGGGAUCGGCCUUCACGGGCUGGUUCCGGGUGAUAUGGAUAACCCUGGUAAUUCUGAGGCUAAUACAUGACCGUAAAACCUAGCUGACCGGCUUCGGCUGGGAUGCUGGGGGACGUGUGAUUUGGGCUUGGUAACACCGGGAAGGGGCGCACGUCUAGACCACGCUAUAAAGGUCGGUUUCCCCUUCGGGGGGGGCUGUCCCAGUGGCUCUUGCUGUGUGCUUCUGACCUAUCAACUAGACGGCAGCGUAAGGGACAUGCUAUGGUGACAACGGGUACAGAGGAUUAGGGUUCGAUCCUGGAGAGUGGGCCUGAGAGAUUGCUCAUACUUCUAAGGAAGGCAGCAGGCGCGCAACGUUCCCCUUGGGCNNUGCCCGAGGGCGUUAGGGGACAUAUGAAUGCCUG
rnacentral:rRNA from 1 species